rnacentral:tmRNA from 1 species
GGGGGCGACACGGCUUCGACGUGGGCGCUGAAGCAUGAGGAGCAUACCGGGGCGCACAGGGACCUCGAUAAAAAGGUGCAAACUUUUAAUUGCUAACGAAAACGUAGCAAUGGCAGCUUAGUGCUGCCACGGUCACUAACUUAAUCGAUGGUGUUGAGUUAACUGGCUGUAAUUAAUGCCAUAUCGGUUGAGUGUUGUUUUCUCCAGGGCACCAACUUAAAAAUGCUGGUGGAAUGAUGGCAGUGAUUUUGUCUAUGGAAGCGAAGUCAUCAUAAUUAAAACAUAGACUAAGUAUGAAGCGCCUUAUCGUGGAUCACCUGCGGACGGGGGUUCAAUUCCCCCCGCCUCCACCA